rnacentral:rRNA from 1 species
GACGAACGCUGGCGGCGCGCCUAACACAUGCAAGUCGAGCGAGAACCGGGGCUUCGGCCCCGGGGACAGCGGCGAACGGGUGAGUAACACGUGGAUAACCUGCCCUCGGCACCGGAAUAG